rnacentral:rRNA from 1 species
UACGAAGGGGGCUAGCGUUGCUCGGAAUCACUGGGCGUAAAGGGUGCGUAGGCGGGUCUUUAAGUCAGGGGUGAAAUCCUGGAGCUCAACUCCAGAACUGCCUUUGAUACUGAAGAUCUUGAGUCCGGGAGAGGUGAGUGGAACUGCGAGUGUAGAGGUGAAAUUCAUAGAUAUUCGCAAGAACACCAGUGGCGAAGGCGGCUCACUGGCCCGGUACUGACGCUGAGGCACGAAAGCGUGGGGAGCAAACAGG